rnacentral:lncRNA from 1 species
GGGACCAGGAUUUCUCAGCGGUGCACGAGGUUCUGAAAGGAGCAGGUGGUUCAGGCCAAGCAUGAUCGGUCAUGGUUUCCUCUGAAACCCUGAAUGUUAGAACCAUAUGCCUGUAUCACGCCUGUUGCAGAUCUUUCAAAGCGUCUUGUAAUUUGUCCAAACCAAGUGGCUUACCAUUGUAUCACGCCUGUUGCAGAUCUUUCAAAGCGUCUUGUAAUUUGUCCAAACCAAGUGGCUUACCGUUGUAUCGCUGUGUAUAUUCAACGUUU